CCUACGGGUGGCAGCAGUGGGGAAUAUUGCACAAUGGGGGAAACCCUGAUGCAGCGACGCCGCGUGAGGGAAGAAGGAAUUCGGUAUGUAAAGCUCUGUCAGCAGGGAAGAAAAUGACGGUACCUGACCAAGAAGCACCGGCUAACUACGUGACAGCAGCCGCGGUAAUACGUAGGGGGCAAGCGUUAUCCGGAUUUACUGGGUGUAAAGGGAGCGUAGACGGCAUGGCAAGUCUGGAGUGAAAGGCGGGGGCUCAACCCCCGGACUGCUCUGGAAACUGCCAGGCUGGAGUGCAGGAGAGGUAUGUGGAAUUCCUAGUGUAGCGGUGAAAUGCGUAGAUAUUAGGAGGAACACCAGUGGCGAAGGCGGCUUACUGGACUGUAACUGACGUUGAGGCUCGAAAGCGUGGGGAGCAAACAGGAUUAGAUACCCCUGUAGUC
rnacentral:rRNA from 1 species